rnacentral:piRNA from 1 species
UGCCGAAUGAAGCUGAGCGUCUCAGUGGA